GAGGGUGUCCUCUCACAUAAUAAUCCAUCUCACCCUUUGUGCAUCACCGCGUGGGCACCCCUUUGGGAUCGGACCGAUCUCGGAAGGGGGGUUCACGUUUUCACACAAACCCCCC
rnacentral:misc_RNA from 1 species